rnacentral:lncRNA from 1 species
AUGCAAUAAAAAUUAUUGCCAAGAUAAUAUAGUAUAUUUUUAUUUCAGAAAGUUUGGCUGACAGUGUGACAAAACCCAAAUUGUAUCCAAUUUCAUAUGCUUGUCCCCACUCUCUCCAAUAGUCUAACACGUGAAUUGAGUACAAAUUGCUAUUUCGGCCAAUCACACAUCUUUUUCUUUGAAUUUAUGGCCACAAGCACUCGAGUGGACUGAUCUAAUAAUUUGAUGCUUUUCUACCGUUGACUAAUCUCC